rnacentral:lncRNA from 1 species
UUUCUUCUCAAUUUCUGUAUUCGAUUCAGAUCCUUUAUUUUAACCCAAUUAUGUAAGGGAGUGUUUUGAUUAAUUUACUGAAACAUUUUUAUUAAAAUUAUUUUUAGUUUAUCAGAUUAUAAUUAACUUAAUCUAAACACUUUCGGUUUUAUCUUUAUUUUUGUGAUGAAUGUAACGUAGAAGAUUCAUGAAGUUGGGAUGUUUGUGAUGAUUUUAGCAAAAUGAAAUUUCUUCAGGGUUCUAUUUGUAUUUUCAUUGUAACAUUAUCAAAGUUUGGGUUGUUUGUCACUGAAUUAGUAAUCAUACAAGUAGAAAUUAACAGUUUUGUGUAAAGGUUGAAUGGGUUUGUGAUUUAUCAAAAUUUUUGAUUUGUUUUUAGCUUUUAAAAAGUAUUUGGAUGGUCUGUGGUUUUCAUUGUGUAAAACAUUUAGUCUCCGAUCAAUAAAUCCAAAAAUUUUUGCAUGUUCAAGAUAAAGACUAAGGGGUUGUUUGGCAACAUCUGAAUGGUUGAAUGGUUAAGUGCUGAACCAGUAAGAGGUCUGAAUCAUUAAAAGCAUGUAUAAUGCUUAACUGUUCAGAGUCAAAUGUCUGACAAAUUCAAAUUAGAGGUCUUAACUAUUUAUAAAUCUUAACCACUCAGAGAUAAAUGUCUGAACCAUUCAGACAUCUGCUUGUGAAACAAACAGUCUGAACUAUUAAGUGAUGAACCAGUAAGAGAUGUGAACCAUUAAGAGCAAGAGGUAAACAAACGGCCCGUAAAUAUGUUACAAAAUGCAAACCAUAUGAAUCAUUUAUGUACUUUUGAAAAAAAAAACUAGGUGGUAAAUGCGUUAUAUAGUGCAAACCUCAAGGACUAUUUUCUUUACCUUUAGAAAGAGGGGAAACAAAUUCAAAAUUUUAGUAAACCAUAAACAUGUGGGUCCUAAAAAAUAGAAAUUUGUCAAUUAAUCUUUGCCAAUCGCUUAAUUAAAAAAUUAUUACACAAGUUAACAUAGAGUAAAAGCUUGUCAAAUUUGUCAACUAGUCUGCUACAACCGUAUUUGAUUUGGACCUUUUGGAAUCUAUUUUUUUGAAUCGUGUAUUAUCAUAACUGGUGCUCCUCUGAAACUGGGGGAACUGAGCUAGUGUUUACUUGUAUAAAAAUAUAGGUAUGGUCAUUUACCGUAUAUUUGGGUCAAGGUUGUUGCUUUAUCAUCUUUUCUCUAUACUUCACUAACAACCAUUUCUAAAAAUGUUAAUUAUCAUUAGUAAUGCAAACGAGCCUGAGCCUUACCUUAAUUGUGCUAGCUUCAUUACAACUUUCUGAAGCCCGAGUUCGGCUCGAUUUGAGCCUUGGAUUUUGGGCUUGAGCUCGGCUUGUUAGUUAAACUUAAAACUCGAGCUCGGCUUGUUAGUAAAACUUAAAACUCGGGCUUGGCUCGAAAGCUCGAUCUAAGUAUCUAUGGCAAGAGUUAAAACAAGCUAAAGCUUGACUCGAGCUUGUUUUUGGCUAAGGUAAACAUACAAGGCUCGGGCUUGAUAUCUAAUCGAUCCUAAUUUCAAGAUCGGGCUUGAGCUCGAUAAGGCUCGGCUCGUUCAAGCUUUUUAUCGAGUCGAUUUCGAGUAGCUCGCGAGCCGCUCGGCUCGUUUGCACCCCUAAUUAUCAUCUUUUCUCUCUCCAUCACUGACAAUCAUUUCUAAAAAUAUUAAAAAAAAUUAUAAGGUUUCUCUCCCCUGGAAUUUUCUUUCUCAUUUAGAGUAACUUUUUUAUAUAUUUUCUUUCUUUCACUCACAACCACUCAAAAACACUAACUGUCAUUCUUUAUAAUACAACUAAGACUGCUGGGUGUGAGGCUUGGGUUGUCAUGUGGCGGAGGUGGGCUUCCUCAGACCACCCCAAAAAAGUGGGGUUUGGUAGCGGCGUGGAUUGGGGGCUUGGGUUAUCAUGACACUCCUAUUUUUUUUAAACUAAUUAAAAUUUCAUUUAAUUAAAUUAACAAACUAACUAAACAACUACAUAA